rnacentral:piRNA from 1 species
UUACAAACCACAGAAAAAGUC